UCUCCGUAGGUGAACCUGCGGAGGGAUCAUUACUGAGUGAGGGCUCACGCCCGACCUCCAACCCUUUGUGAACACAUCUUGUUGCUUCGGGGGCAACCCUGCCGGCACUCGGUCGCCGGGCGCCCCCGAAGGUCUCCAAACACUGCAUCGUUGCGUCGGAGUUUAAAACAAAUUAAACAAAACUUUCAAAAACGGAUCUCUUGGUGCUGGCAUCGAUGAAGAAAGCAGC
rnacentral:misc_RNA from 1 species